rnacentral:rRNA from 1 species
UACAGAGGGGGCAAGCGUUGUUCGGAAUUACUGGGCGUAAAGGGUGCGUAGGCGGCGCGGAAAGUUGGGUGUGAAAUCCCUCGGCUUAACCGAGGAACUGCGCCCAAAACUACCGUGCUUGAGGGAGAUAGAGGUGAGCGGAACUUAGGGUGGAGCGGUGAAAUGCGUUGAUAUCCUAAGGAACACCGGUGGCGAAAGCGGCUCACUGGAUCUCUUCUGACGCUGAGGCACGAAAGCUAGGGUAGCAAACGGG